ACGCUCGACACCUACGGGAGGCAGCAGUGGGGAAUAUUGCACAAUGGGGGAAACCCUGAUGCAGCAACGCCGCGUGAAGGAAGACGGUUUUCGGAUUGUAAACUUCUGUUCUUAGUGAAGAUAGUGACGGUAGCUAAGGAGCAAGCCACGGCUAACUACGUGCUAGCAGCCGACGGUAAUCUGAGCGGGCUGGCAAGGC
rnacentral:rRNA from 1 species